UAGUCGGGACCUAAGCCGAGGCCGACAGGCGUAGGCGAUGGACAACAGGUUGAUAUUCCUGUACCCGUUGUUUUUGUUUGAGCAAUGGAGGGACGCAGGAGGCUAAGAAGUGCAGACUGAUGGAUAUGUCUGUUCAAGCAGUAAGUCUUGGUAGGAGUCAAAUGCUUCUACCUAUACGGACAAGCUGUGAUGAGGAGGGAAAUAAUAGUACCGAAGCUUCUGAUGUCACACUGCCAAGAAAAGCUUCUAGUGAGAAAACAACGGCCCGUACCGCAAACCGACACAGGUAGUCGAGGAGAGAAUCCUAAGGUGAGCGAGAGAACUCUCGUUAAGGAACUCGGCAAAAUGACCCCGUAACUUCGGGAGAAGGGGUGCUGCUCUAACGAGCAGCCGCAGUGAAUAGGCCCAAGCGACUGUUUAUCAAAAACACAGGUCUCUGCAAAAUCGAAAGAUGACGUAUAGGGGCUGACGCCUGCCCGGUGCUGGAAGGUUAAGAGGAGUGCUUAGCGUA
rnacentral:rRNA from 1 species